UAUCAUACCAUGUUGGCAGUUCCCCUGGAACCAGAGUGACAGAUAGUUUGUCAGUUAUCAUGUGGGUGCUGGGAAUUGAACAUGAGUCAUGAGUUCUGGGAAACAGCAGCCAGUGUUCUCAACCACUGUGCCAUCUCUGCAGCCCAAGAGAAGCCUUUUUUUUUUUUUUUUAAAUGGGUUUUUGUAACAGGGUUUCUCUAACUGAACCCUGGCUAUCCUGGAACUGGCUUUGUAGACCAGGCUGACUUUGAACUCACAAAGAUCCCCCUGCCACUGCCCACCUCUUUCACCCUGAGUGCUGUGAUUAAGGCGUGUGCCAGCACCCCUGGAGAGAAGCCAUUUUUAGGCAUCAUUUUGCUGUAUCAUCUAAUUAUAGCAGUCAUUUAAAUGGCAGAUGAGAUAUGCAGAAUAUUUCUUCUGUAGGGGUAGUAAAUAAUUAUGAUGCUUUAAACAUUGUUUUUAAUUGUAAUGUUUAAAUUAGAGGGGCCAUAAAAGAUCUUAAGGCUCUGAGAGCAGUUGAGCAUGAGAAACAAACUAAUUUCUUUGUACUUUUUCCAAAUGUAUGUUUGUGUGUAUGUAUGUAUGUAUAUGUAUGUAUUUCAACAAACUCAUUCCUUUCUCUUUCACCUGUAUUUUAAAACUAAAGUCUACUCUUUGCAUCAAAGCGUAACAAGUGAACAGGUUGGUUGAACUGUUAAGAGGAAAGCCAUCAAGGGGCCAAGGAACAACCACAGUGCUUAUGCCUAAGUCCCUUGUCCUCCCAGUGCCUCUCAACCUCCCUAAUGCUUUGACCCUUUAAUACAGCUCCUCAUUUUGUGACUCCCAACCAUAACACUCUUUUCAUUGGUGCUUCUUGACUGCAAAUUUGCUACUUUUGCAAGUUGUAAUAUAAAUAUCAGUGUUUUCCAAUGGUUUUAGGUGACCCCUGAAAGAGUUGUUGGACCCCAAAGGGGUCACAACACACAGCUUGAGAACCGCUGCUCUAACAGAGAAUUCUUUUUUUUUUUUCCUUUCUUUUUUUUCGGAGCUGGGGACCGAACCCAGGGCCUUGCGCUUGCUAGGCAAGCGCUCUACCACUGAGCUAAAUCCCCAACCCCCUAACAGAGAAUUCUUGUUUAACUUUACUGUGAAGUGAAUAGCGGGACCAUGUUUAAAAAUACUACAUUGCUAAAGGCAGGUAUGUCAUCGUGGCCACCUUAGAACAGAAAAAUGAGAGUUUCGAUUUGUUAUAGUCAGUAACAGUUCAUAUUAAGGAAAAGUAUUAAAAGUACCCGGAUAUUUUUAAAAAUACAAUGUUGGGGCAGUUUCUUAACAUAUCAAUAGUAAUUGUACCAAGCGAUUGCAAGCAAGGAAGUAGAAUUCUCAGCUUCAUACCCCUCCUUCCCCCAUCUCUUCUCUCGAUCAUUAUUGGGGCAUACAUUUCAGCUGAGUUUUAAACCUUCAGUCUGUGCUUAAAAGAAGGGUUUCUGAUCAUAGGUAAGAUUCAACCCGGAAAUAAGCCACACAACACACGUCAUUGCUAAGAGAUUUAUAUCAACAAAACACACUAAUUUAAAACUCGUGUCUUAAAACUUGUAUCGUGUUAUGUAUAUAUAAAGUUUCUCAAAACUUGUUACCCAGCACUCCAAAAAGAAAAAUAUAGCAACGACCCACAAUGUCUAAGGCUACAGUGGUUGUUGGUCAGUGUGGAUGCUAAAAGGGUUAUUGUCCUCUGACCAGACACUGCAAAGAUCACCCCAGAAACUCGGAACAAUGGUGAGCAGGCAGCUAUGAGGGGAAAGGAGUUGGAUAAAACAACCAGAGGGGAGGUCUUCACAACUCGGUACUAAGGGCUAAGGGCACGGCAGCAUCGAGAUUCUCUAGUUCUCAUUUUGGAGAAGAGAAGAAAGCCACUACACUAGACGGAGACAGGGAGGUGCGGCAGCCCCUGGAUAGUCUCACGGAAAACUGAAAGCAAUUUCAGAUUGAAGGCAACAGGGGAAAGGUUAGGACAGAACCUGGGGUUAAAACCCAGGCAGAUAGAGCACUGAAUGGACUUUGUAAAGCUAAUCUUAGGAGAAGGGAUUUUUAUCCUGAGGGCCACAGCCGUUCCUUUAAAAGAUUUAAAACGGGAGGGAAGUGAUCGGAUUAAAAGGACCGCCAUCCAUUUAGUCCACUGUGGUGGUGGGGGAGGGGUAGAGGCGCGGGCCACGCGCAGUGGGCAGGUAACUGCCGGGAUCCGAGUGGAAACUCCAGGGGCACGAACCAGAGUGGCGGGAGCCCUGAGCCUAAGUGUGGACGAAAACGGAUUCUGGAGCUGGAUGAGGCGGUGCGAAGGGCUGAUGACCAAGUAGAGCUGCCAUGGCUGAGAUACGAAACGCAGGUCUGAGGACAGGUGCUGAGCUCCAGGUAAAAAGAUUCCCAGCCUCCAAGUGAAAUCGCCUGGAUUUCAGAACAGAGGUGGUCUGGAAGCAGGAGGGCGCAUGGCGAGAGGGACGAGAUCCGCAAGAGGAUGCAGUCUCCUGCAUAGCCCGACAGCAUUUAUUUUCUUUUACUUCAAAAAUACUCUGAAUCCUAAGACCAGCAGUGAAUUAGGUAGGGGCUCCAGCGCUCUGAUUGAAGGACGGGAAAUGAGAUUUUGGGGCAGGAGUUGGUCACCAUUACCUCACCGUGAAUCCUGGAAAUAACCUUCCACCAACACCUCUGUGCCGCCCACAAAUCAGCUGAAUGCAUCCGACCGCUGACACAGAAUCUUGCUUGAUCUCCCCCCCCCUUGGAAGACUAUUUCAUAGAAACGUGUUUGAUUUUAAAAAGUGCCGUGCUUGUUUAUUCCAACUCCCGCGUUUAAACAUUAGAAUGACUAGCUUGCAAUUUUAAUAAAUACCGCGUUAAAAAUACGCAUCCACUUUCAAAACAUUGAAACCGGAGACAGUCGUACUUCACCAGUGAGUGCAAACUUUCCAAAUUUUUGCCCGUGGAAGGUUCUGAGGAACCGCUUUUCUGAACAGGGUGCGUAACUCACCCAGCUUUGCCAAGCCGCAGACUGAGACAGAACCGGGGACUCUGGACCGCACCACCAGCUCCUCCCCGCCCAUUCCCCACCUCCGGUAGCAGGUUCCCCACGCCCCGCCCUCCCCAUGGUCCGGCCCUCUCCAGGACUCCGGGGCGGGCCCAAAAUGACCAUCGCUGAUUGGCUAUCUUCGCGUAGCUCCGCCCCCAGGGCGCGCGCAGGAAGCGGUGCGGGCACGCGCGGCGCGGCCCCGCAGGAAAGCUUCCGUGACCCUCGUUCGGGUGUCCUGCCGAGGCGUCCUUGAACUGCAUCGGGCUAGGCUGGGUCCCGGGGGCCCUCUGCCCUCGCCAACCCCCCGCUUUGCGGACCACCGGGCUCUGGCAGAGGCCGCGGCCCGCGGUGCCCGGAUGUCGCAGUCCGGAGAACGUGGGCUUAAAGGGCCAGUGCCGCGCAGCCGCCGCGACUUGCGCUCGGAGUUACCGGCCUGGGCGGCCUGGGAGGCCCGGCUUCCGCAGCCGGCCGGUCCCUGUGAUUGGCAGAGGCGCAGAGAAUGCUGGACGUCUAAGUCCCGCCCUUCCCGGGUCAAAAUGGUGCGGGCGAGGCCCUGCGCCCGACUGCCCCAGCCUUGCGGUCUGGGGACCCCAGAAAGGGAAAGCUAAGUUGUUUGAGGUCGCGGAUUUGGGCGAAGGUGUCGAGGUGCGCUUUAAAAAACACACGGUCUUCCAACAGGAAAUAAAAUUGUUGUGUUCGAGUGUAGAAGAUUUUAUUUAAAAUGAAGGAAUGAAAAGACAACGAAGAAGACAAAAAACACAGGAAAUAAGAGAUAAGCAAAUGGAAAAUGUUCAGAGAACUUUGAACAAACUCAGUAUUUGCUUGCUAAGAAGCUGGAUGGAGGAAAAGUAUUCUGAAGUUAAAACGGGCUUGUGUAAACGGUAUUUUAGCUUCAUUGUCAUGCCUUCUUCACAAUAUACAAUAACUGGUUUCAUUUAAUAGACUACUCAAUGAGUAUGUUAAGACUAGGGAAUGGCAAAGGCAGGGACAGAAACCUCCAAAAAAGAAGAUGAAGUUAAUGACAUGCUUCAUUUCAAGAGACAUGAGCUCAUUUCCUGUUAGAGGGAUUUCUACCAAAUGAGAUUUGGUGCUAAAUAAAUUUAUCUUACAGACCUUCCUUAAA